AGGAUAAACGCUGGCGGCGUGCCUAACACAUGCAAGUCGAACGUCUCUUUCUUCGGGAAGAGGAGUGGCGGACGGGUGAGGAACACGUGGGAACCUGCCCUUUAGUGAGGAAUACCGGCGAGAAAUCGCCGACAAGACCGCAUAGCCCUCUUUGAUGAGAGUCAAAGAAGGAAAGCUUCGCAAGAGGCGCUAGAGGAGGGGCCUGCGUCCGAUUAGCUAGUUGGUGGGGUAAGAGCCUACCAAGGCGUCGAUCGGUAGCUGGUCUGAGAGGACGAUCAGCCACACUGGGAUUGAGAACGGCCCAGACUCCUACGGGGGGCAGCAGUGAGGAAUUUUCGGCAAUGGGGGAAACCCUGACCGAGCAACGCCGCGUGCAGGAAGACGGCCUUCGGGUUGUAAACUGCUUUUCUUUGGGACGAGGAAGGACGGUACCAGAGGAAUCAGCCCGGCUCACUACGUGCCAGCACGCCGC
rnacentral:rRNA from 1 species